ensembl:lncRNA
GUUAGGGUUGGGACCCUAGGGUUAAGGUUAGGGUUGGGGUUAAGACUAGGGUUAAAGUUAGGGUUGGGGUUAAGACUAGGGUUAAGGUUAGGGUUGGGGUUAAGACUAGGGUUAAGGUUAGGGUUGGGGUUAAGACUAGGGUUAAGGUUAGGGUUGAGGUUGGGGUCAGUUUGAGUGUUUUCCUUCAUUGGACUGCCAAUGUGUUGCACCCCAAUAUGCCUUAGUAACGGCUGAGCACACAGGUCUUCCUCGGUACCAAUUUGUUUGUGGGUUCUGGAAGUAACGUGCCCGAGGGAAGGGGCCCAUUUCAUUGUCAAACAAUCACCCACGUGAAUCACCAGUUUUCCUGUCUGGUAACUCCUCUAACAUCAAAUAAACUUAUUUUCUAAAUACUUUGUCUCAUUUUCUAAAGUUCUAGACUCUACUGUUUAACUCAGUGAAUCAUUUGUUGGCUUUCAGUGAUGUGUAUAAAGGGUUCAUGUGUUCAUGUUUCUUGUGGAGGUUGUCAAGGCUGCUUUGUUAUAUCCCAGCAUCCUGUUCAACAGUGUUGUGCCUCACAUGCAGGUAUACGCAGUACGUGCAGAUCAGUGCUGGAAAAAAGACAAAACUCACAGUACUUUGUUUCAGAGGAAUGGAAAGCAAUGCUUGUCGUGAGAAAUUAAACCACAAGAGUGUAGACAAGGGUCUU